AGACAAACCAAAAUAAUUUUGAUGACAACAAAAUAUUAAAUUUAAUUAAAUCUCAAUGUUAGUUAUAAAUUAUGAAUAAUUUAUAAUUUGUUGGCUUAAUAUACUACAUUUAAAUUUAUGAAAAAAAUUAUUUAAUUAUUUAUUGUGAAAACAACAGCCUGAUGAAGUUAUGCAGCAAAUGAAGAUGCGUGUGAGUUGAAGUAUGAAGCAGGAGACGAAGCAUGAAGGUGUGGACGUUAGACGCAGCAUUGCAGCGGUGCCAAUGGCCGAGGCACUUCAGAGAGAUUCUCUCACAAACGAUCCUCACCGGCCUCAUCUCAGACCCCUACGCCGCAAGCAGACUCAUAAACUUCUCUACUCGCUCUGCUCUCGUUCCCUUCGACUAUUCCCUCCGAAUCUUCAACCAUCUUCACAACCCCAACCCCUUCACAUGGAACACCAUCAUGCGCGCCCACUUCGAACUCCAAAACAACCCUCACCAAGCCAUCACACUCUACAAGCUCUUCCUUGCGAAACACGCAAAACCCGAUAACUAUACCUACCCAAUUCCUCUUCAAUGUUGCGCUGCCCGGGUGUCCGACUUCGAGGGAAGGGAGCUGCACGCACAUGUCCUGAGGUUUGGUUUUCGUCAAGAUGUGUACGUCCGGAACACGCUGAUCAACUUGUAUGCUAUAUGUGGGAGGAUGUCCAGUGCGCGCCAGGUGUUUGAGGAAAGUCCUGUCUGGGAUUUGGUAUCUUGGAAUACUGUUUUGGCGGGGUAUGUUCAGGCGGGAAAUGUGAAAGAGGCGGAACGUGUGUAUAGGGGAAUGCCGGAGAGGAACACCAUUGCUUCGAAUUCCAUGAUUGUGCUCUUUGGAAGGAAGGGGUGUGUGGAGAAGGCGCGGCGGAUUUUUGAUGAGGUUCGAUGGAGGGAUAUGGACAUGGUGUCGUGGAGUGCGAUGGUUUCUUGUUAUGAGCAGAAUGAGAUGUGUGAGGAGGCGUUGGUUUUGUUUGUGGAGAUGAAGGCCAGUGGGGUGACAGUGGAUGAGAUCGUUGUGGUUAGUGUUGUAUCCGCGUGUUCGCGAAUUUUGAAUGCUGAGAUGGGGAGGUUGGUGCAUGGUUUGGCGGCGAAAGUUGGGGUUGAGGAUUAUGUUAGUCUUAAGAAUGCUUUGAUUCAUUUGUACUCUAGUUGUGGGGAGAUAGUGGAUGCGCAAAGAAUUUUUGAUGAUGGUGGUGUUCUCUUGGAUCAAAUAUCUUUGAACUCGAUGAUUUCUGGGUACUUGAGGUGUGGUUCGAUUGAAGAUGCUGAGAAGUUGUUUUAUUCCAUGCCGGAGAAGGACGUUGUGUCUUGGAGUGCCAUGAUAUUUGGUUAUGCUCAACAUGAAUGUUUUUCAGAGGCUUUGGAAUUGUUCCAAGAAAUGCAACUUCAUGGAGUCAAGCCCGACGAAACUGCUUUAGUUAGUGCCAUCUCGGCUUGCACCCAUCUGGCUGCUUUGGACAUAGGGAAAUGGAUUCAUGCUUAUAUAAAUAUAAAUAAAUUACAGGUUAAUACUAUUCUGAGCACGACUCUUAUAGACAUGUAUGUGAAAUGCGGGUGUGUGGAAAAUGCAUUGGAGGUUUUCUACGCGAUGGAGGAAAAGGGGGUUUCUACCUGGAAUGCAAUCAUUCUUGGGUUGGCAAUGAAUGGUUUGGUAGAACAGUCACUCCGCAUGUUUGCAGAUAUGAAAAAAACGAAGACACUUCCUAAUGAGAUAACCUUUAUGGGAGUUCUUGGGGCCUGUCGGCACAUGGGCCUAGUCAAUGAGGGGCGUCACUACUUUAGUUCCAUGAUCCACGAACACAAAAUAGAGCCUAAUAUUAAGCACUAUGGAUGCAUGGUUGAUCUUUUUGGACGGGCAGGUUUGCUUAAAGAAGCGGCGGAGCUGAUUGAGAGUAUGCCAAUGGCACCUGAUGUUGCCACUUGGGGUGCCUUGCUCGGGGCUUGUAGAAAACACCAUGACAAUGAAAUGGGAGAGAGGGUGGGAAGAAAACUUAUUCAGCUUCAGCCUAACCAUGAUGGUUUCCAUGUAUUAUUGUCAAAUAUAUAUGCUUUAAAAGGAAACUGGAGCAAUGUUCUUGAAAUUCGGGGAAUUAUGGCACAACAUGGGGUGGUAAAGACACCUGGUUGUAGCAUGAUUGAAGCAAAUGGGAUAGUUCAUGAAUUUUUGGCUGGAGAUAAGACCCACCCACAAAUAAGUGAUAUUGAGCACAUGUUAGAUGAAGUGUCAGCAAAGUUAAAGAUUGAGGGUUAUGUACCAACCACAAGUGAGAUUUCACUAGACAUAGACGAUGAAGAGAAGGAAACUGCACUUUUCAGGCACAGUGAGAAACUUGCAGUCGCCUUUGGACUUAUCACGAUUGCUCCACCAACUCCAAUUAGAGUUAUGAAGAACUUGCGAAUUUGUAAUGAUUGCCACGCUGUUGUAAAGUUAAUCUCCAAAGCAUUUGAUCGCGAAAUUGUGGUAAGGGAUCGUCAUCGCUUUCACCACUUUAAGCGUGGAUCUUGUUCCUGCAUGGAUUUUUGGUAACAAAACCGUAGUGGCUAUUAAGUGAAUGAGUAUUUUACGUGUAAGGAACAUGUACUCAAUUUUUUCAUUGUUGACUCAAAUAUCAAAGCAUGUGGAAUUUAAGAUUUUCACGAUUUGGUUUGCCUUGCUAUGAAAUCAAAUUUUGUUCAUUUUUGUGAUCUUGUUGGCAAAGAAUGACAGGUAGAGAAUACCUUACAAUCCAGGAUAAUAUCACUCCAAGAUUCUGAAGAGAAAUGAUACUUCUGCCAAUGUUAAUUGAGUUUGCAUUCAGCGGUUGGCCUCUGGGAAAGUUUGCAAAAAUCCAAAAAAUCUCGAUCAAUCUCCAUUGUCUUUGGUUCAGUGACUAUUCCUGAGCAAUUGAGUUUAUAGUGGAACUCAUCUAUUGUACUUGUUUUUUGAAGCAAGCUCUUUCCUUAGGCUUGUAAUAGGUUUCUUGGACUAAUGGAAUAGGUUUUCCGGGUGAGUGAUGGAGACCUUCUUGGACCAAUGAGGGUGGGUCUGACCCUUUGAACAGGUUCCUUGGUUGAUAAACUAGCACACGGAUUAGGCAUGACUAGGAAAGGAGCAAGGAUGGCUUCUCGGAUUAGUUCUUGGUUUUCUUUUGGUUCAAGAGGGCCUCGACAAAAGGGUGGUAUUCUUGGAGUCUGAUGAAGGUUUGGAGGUAUUUGAACAAGGUAACUGAGGUUUUCAGGUGGUGGGAUGGUUUCUAUAAAGGUUGGUGGUGGUUCUUGGCAGCCAAGGUGGGAAGUUUACCCAAUCCUAGAUCAAGAUGGAAGGAGGAAACCGAAAGGUGCAGUACAUUUGAGACGAUAUGUCCAGCUGGUGGUUUUGAUUCUGUGAAAGUAUGUACAGUGAGCAGUCUUCCGGUGAUGUAAGUUGUUGAAGAAAGUGUGCUGAACCUGACCAGCUGUAUUUGAAUGUGCUCACAUGAGAAGCUUGCCAUGGGAGCUUUAACCUGCUGGAGUUUGGACUUGUUAGAGAAACGUGUUGGCAGAGGUAAUUUUGAAGCAGAGAAGCUAACCAAGACUUGCAACCUGCUGAUCCUGAAGUGAUGACCUGCUACCAACUGUCAAGAACUCCAAUAGACAGAUUAUGCACUUUGAAGAAACCUGUGCCAGCCAGUAGCUUUUGAGGAGAGCUGCUCUAGUUACUUGCUACUUAGGUGAUUUGUACUGUUCUAGUUACUUGUAUAAUUAGACUAGGCUAGGCUAGGCUAGGUAGUUUGUACAUAAUUUUUACUUGCUAUUGGCAGUUCCUAUGACCAGUUCUAGGCUGUUUUCCAGUUUUAUAGGCUUGGACUUCUAGAAGCAUAUACAAGGCUUGGAUCUUAAACUUGAAAGAGGGACGAAUCAUAUUUUUAGAUUUCUCAGUUUUUAGAAUAGUUUUCUCUGGAGAUUUCUGGUUGUCUAAGACUCCAAAAUGAGCUAGACACCAAAGGGCUUCGGUGAUUGUACUGUUCGCAUCAAGUUUCAUUCAAUUCAAGUUAAUUUUGCUUUUAA